GCGGCUAUCUGGUUUGCAAUUAGACAUGCAAGUAUUCCGAAAGGAUGCGUACUGCUCAGUAACACGUAGCUAACCUGCCCUCAUGCCGGUAAUACCCUCGGGAAACUGAGAUUAAGAACCGAUAGGCGACGUUCUCUGGAAUGAUUCGUCGCUCAAAGUUAGCAUGAGAAUGGGGCUGCGGUGGAUUAGGUUGUUGGCGGGGUAAUGGCCCACCAAGCCGUUGAUCCAUAAGGGCUCUUAGCGGAGAAGCCCUGAGAGGGAGUCUGAGACACUACUCCCAGCCCUACGGGGUGCAGCAGUCGGGAGAAUUCUGCAAUGCGCGCAAGCGUGACAGAGCAAGCCAGAGUGCGUUUCUAUAAUUGAAACGCUUUUGUGCGAUGUAAAAAGUCGCACGAAUAAGGACUGGGCAAGACCGGUGCCAGCCGCCGCGGUAAUCCCGGCGGUCCAAGUCGCAGCCACGUUUACUGGGUCUAAAACAUCCGUAGCUCGCCGUGUAAGUCGUGUGUGAAAUCGGGCAUCUUAAGUGUCCGGCGGGCACACGAUACUGCUCGGCUAGAGACCGGGAGAUGUAAGGAGUACGCUCGGGGUAGCGGUAAAAUGCGUUGAUCCCGUGUGGACUAACGACAGCGAAGGCACCUUACAAGAACGGAUCUGACAGUGAGGGAUGAAGGCCAGGGGCGCAAAGUGGAUUAGAUACCCAUGUAGUCCUGGCAGUAAACCCUGCACACUAAACAUCAGCACCUCCUCGAGAGGUGUUGGUGCUGUAACGAAGGUGGAAAGUGUGCUACCUGGGAAGUAUAGUCGCAAGACCGAAACUUAAAGGAAUAGGCGGGAGGGUACCACAACGAGUGACGCGUGCGGUUCAAUUAGAAUCGACACCGUGAACCUCACCAGAGUCGACAGCAGGAUGAAGGUCAGUCUGAAGGGCUUACCUGACACGCUGAGAGGAGAUGCAUGGCCAACGUCAGCCUGUGUCGUGAGAUGAUCUGUUAAAUCAGAUAACAGGCGAGACCCGUGUGUACAUUUGCUUCGUGCACAAUGUACAGACUGCUUGGGCAACCAAGAGGAAGGUGCGGGCUACGUUAGGUGAGUACGUCCCGAAUACUCUGGGCUACACGCGCGCGGCAAUGCUGCAUUCAAAGGGAUGCGACGCCGAAAGGCGAGGCUAAUCUCAUAAACUGCAGCUUAGUUCAGAUUGAGGAUUGCAACUCAUCCUCAUGACGCUGGAAUUCGUAGUAAUCGGGCGUUAUCAGCACCCGGUGAAUAGGUCAAUGCCCUCUGCACUCACCGCCCGUCAAACCAACCGAGUUUUGCAUUGGUGAGGCCCGUUAGGGACGAGCCUUUGUAAGGCGAGGUAGGUUAAGUCGACACAAGGUA
rnacentral:rRNA from 1 species